rnacentral:rRNA from 1 species
UACGAAGGGUGCAAGUGUUACUCGGAAUUACUGGGCGUAAAGCGUGCGUAGGCGGUUCGUUAAGUCUGAUGUGAAAGCCCUGGGCUCAACCUGGGAAUGGCAUUGGAUACUGGCGACCUAGAGUGCGGUAGAGGGUGGCGGAAUUCCGGGUGGAGUGGUGAAAUGCGUAGAGAUCCGGAGGAACACCAGAGGCGAAGGCGGCCUACUGGGCUGCACCUGACGCUGAGCCGCGAAAGCCAGGGGAGCGAACGGG